rnacentral:misc_RNA from 1 species
GCUACUGAGAUGAACAUUGGGAGAACCAAUCUCCACGCGGCGAAUUAACUCGAAUCGCUCAUCAUCUCCGACGAGAAAAGGAAAUAUGUUUCUCAAAGUACAGUUGCCUUGGAAUGUUAUAAUCCCUGCUGAGAACUUGGAUGCUAAAGGACUGAUGCUCCAAAGGUCAAUUGUUGUCCGCUUGUUAGAAGAUUUUGCUAGUAAAAAAGCUACCAAAGAUUUGGGUUAUUACCUUGCUGUCACCACUUUGGAGAACAUAGGGGAGGGAAAAGUGAGGCAGCACACUGGGGAUGUGCUAUUUCCAGUUGUAUUCAGUGGCAUCACUUUCAAGAUUUUCAGGGGUGAGAUUCUGGAAGGGGUUGUUCACAAAGUGCUCAAGCAUGGUGUUUUCAUGAGAUGUGGGCCAAUUGAGCAUAUAUAUCUCUCUUAUAUGAAAAUGCCAGAUUACCGUUAUGUGCCUGGAGAGAAUCCAGUCUUUCUGAACGACAAGAUGUCAAAGAUUGAAAAGGAUGCAGUGGUGAGAUUCAUCGUUAUUGGAACAAAGUGGUUAGAGGCGGAAAGGGAGUUUCAGGCAUUGGUCAGCUUGGAGGGUGAUUAUCUUGGACCAGUGUCCUAGAUGCCUGCCUUCUAUUUUGCUGGAUAUGCAUGUAAAUCUUUUUAAUAUGUUGGAUUAAACUUAGCCUACCGGAAGCAUGAUAGUUUCUUUUGGAGCAAUAGAUAUUCCUGGAGGCCUUAGCUCCUAGUCAU